UUACGUCCACAUCACAUUGAAACACCAGUCGCCGUUCGAUCACCAAAGUUAAGCAACGUCGAGUCUGGGCAGUACCUGGAUGAGUGACUGUAUGGGAAUACCAGGUGCUAUAA